AAAUUUAUUUAUUUUUUCUUUCAUAUUCUCAAACAGAUCUUUUUUCUUAAUCUUUUCUUCUUUUCUCUCAAAUAUAUAUUUCUUUUCAACUCUCUCCGAUUUCUUUUCUCGCCCCUCUUUUUUUUUCUCAUAAAAAUUUCUUUUUUCUUCACUUCCUCAUGAAUUUAUUUUCCCUCUACUUCUUUUCUCUCCACUUCUUUACCA
rnacentral:lncRNA from 1 species